GCCUGGUGGCGGUGGCAGUUUGCCCGCGGGUGUGUGAAGGGAGACAGUGUGGAGGCCACAGGGUACUCGCCACGAUGAGCAGCACCUUAGCUAAGAUCGCGGAGAUAGAAGCAGAGAUGGCUCGGACUCAAAAGAACAAGGCCACAGCACACCACUUAGGGCUGCUUAAGGCUCGUCUUGCUAAGCUUCGUCGAGAACUCAUUACUCCAAAGGGUGGUGGUGGUGGAGGUCCAGGAGAAGCUCCUGGAUCUCCCAGGUAUCAUUGAAGGUGCCAAGGAUGGGAAAGGUAGAGGUCGUCAAGUCAUUGCAGUGGCCCGAACCUGUAACUUGAUCUUGAUUGUUCUGGAUGUCCUGAAACCUUUGGGACAUAAGAAGAUAAUUGAAAAUGAGCUGGAAGGCUUUGGCAUUCGCUUGAACAGCAAACCCCCCAACAUUGGCUUUAAGAAGAAGGACAAGGGAGGCAUUAAUCUCACAGCCACUAAACGGAGAUUUGCCAUGUUGCCCAGGCUGGUCUUGAACUUUUGGCCUCAAGCUGUCUCCUGCUUCGGUCUCCCAAAGUGUUGGGAUUACAGUGCCCCCAGAGUGAGCUGGAUGCUGAAACUGUGAAGAGCA
rnacentral:lncRNA from 10 species